rnacentral:rRNA from 1 species
GAUGAACGCUGGCGGCGUGCCUAAUACAUGCAAGUCGAGCGAACGGACGAGAAGCUUGCUUUUCUGAUGUUAGCGGCGGACGGGUGAGUAACACGUGGAUAACCUACCUAUAAGACUGGGAUAACUUCGGGAAACCGGAGCUAAUACCGGAUAAUAUUUUGAACCGCAUGGUUCAAAAGUGAAAGACGGUCUUGCUGUCACUUAUAGAUGGAUCCGCGCUGCAUUAGCUAGUUGGUAAGGUAACGGCUUACCAAGGCAACGAUGCAUAGCCGACCUGAGAGGGUGAUCGGCCACACUGGAACUGAGACACGGUCCAGACUCCUACGGGAGGCAGCAGUCGGGAAUCUUCCGCAAUGGGCGAAAGCCUGACGGAGCAACGCCGCGUGAGUGAUGAAGGUCUUCGGAUCGUAAAGCUCUGUUAUUAGGAAAGAACAUAUGUGUAAUUAACUGUGCACAUCUUGACGGUACCUAAUCAGAAAGCCACGGCUAACUACGUG